rnacentral:rRNA from 1 species
UGGGGAAUAUUGCACAAUGGGCGAAAGCCUGAUGCAGCGACGCCGCGUGAGGGAUGACGGCCUUCGGGUUGUAAACCUCUUUCAGCAGGGAAGAAGCGAAAGUGACGGUACCUGCAGAAGAAGCGCCGGCUAACUACGUGCCAGCAGCCGCGGUAAUACGUAGGGCGCAAGCGUUGUCCGGAAUUAUUGGGCGUAAAGAGCUCGUAGGCGGUUUGUCGCGUCUGCUGUGAAAACGCGAGGCUCAACCUCGCGCCUGCAGUGGGUACGGGCAGACUAGAGUGCGGUAGGGGAGACUGGAAUUCCUGGUGUAGCGGUGGAAUGCGCAGAUAUCAGGAGGAACACCGGUGGCGAAGGCGGGUCUCUGGGCCGUAACUGACGCUGAGGAGCGAAAGCAUGGGGAGCGAACA